AGUAUCAAUUGAUGAAACCUUGAAACAAUCUAAGGACACCUUCUGUAACUGUUCUUAUCUUGUGAAUGGGAAGUCAUUUAUUUUCCGAUAAUUCU